GGAGUCUGCUUUCCAGGGACAGUUUCUAUGUAUUUGUCCUCCAUUUUACACUGGUGACUUUUGCCAGCAACGUUACAAUCCCUGUGACCUUCCCUACAAUCCAUGUAUAAACAACUCAACAUGCUUGGCUCAAGUUGAUGGGAGUCCAUUAUGUGUUUGUGAAAAAGGAUUCGAAGGUGCUUACUGUGAAAUUGACAGCAAUGAGUGUAUCUCCCAUCCAUGCCAGAACCAAGGUCACUGUGUAGAUGAGGUUAACAGUUACAGGUGCUCCUGCAGACCUGGAUUUUCUGGGACACAAUGUGAAGUGGAGAUUAAUGAAUGUUUAUCAAAACCCUGCCAAAACAAUGGAACCUGUCUUGACCUUAUAAACAGGUUUCUCUGUAGCUGUGCACCUUGGUUCUAUGGGCCUCUUUGUGAGUUGGAUGUAAAUGAGUGUGAAACUUUGCCUUGUCUGCAUGGAGGUAGUUGCUAUAAUAAACCUGGAGGCUAUC